rnacentral:rRNA from 1 species
UAGGCCACCUAUGCUGGAAUGCUUGGUGGUUUAAAGGCAACGCCUUUGGAUGGGUCUGCGGCGGAUUAGGUUGACGCCGGUGUAACGUACCGGCGUGCCCGUAAUCCGUACGGGUUGUGGGAGCAAGAGCCCGGAGAUGGAUUCUGAGACACGAAUCCAGGCCCUACGGGGCGCAGCAGGCGCGAAAACUCUACAAUGCAGGCAACUGCGAUAGGGGGACAUCGAGUGAUACCCACCUUGGGUAUCUGUCCCACCGUCUAAAAAACGGUGGUUAGCAAGGGCCGGGUAAGACCGGUGCCAGCCGCCGCGGUAAUACCGGCGGCUCGAGUGGUGGCCGAUAUUAUUGAGUCUAAAGGGUCCGUAGCCGGCUCCGUGGGUCCCCCGGGAAAUCCAGCGGCUUAACCGUUGGUCGUCCGUGGGAUACCGCGUUGCUUGGGGCCGGGAGAGGUGGGAGGUACUCGGGGGGUAGGGGUGAAAUCCUGUAAUCCUCCGGGGACCACCGGUGGCGAAGGCGUCCCACCAGAACGGGUCCGACGGUGAGGGACGAAAGCUAGGGGCACGAACCGGAUUAGAUACCCGGGUAGUCCUAGCCGUAAACGAUGCCCGCUAGGUGUCACGGCGGUCGUGAAUCGCCGUGGUGCCGUAGGGAAGCCGCGAAGCGGGCCACUUGGGAAGUACGGCCGCAAGGCUGAAACUUAAAGGAAUUGGCGGGGGAGCACC